rnacentral:rRNA from 1 species
UCCGUAGGGUGCAAGCGUUACUCGGAAUUCUUGGGCCUAAAGCAUCCGUAGCCGGUUCUACAAGUCUUCCGUUAAAUCCAACUGCUUAACAGGUGGGCUGCGGAAGAUACUAUAGAGCUAGGAGGCGGGAGAGGCAAGCGGUACUCGAUGGGUAGGGGUAAAAUCCGUUGAUCCAUUGAAGACCACCAGUGGCGAAGGCGGCUUGCCAGAACGCGCUCGACGGUGAGGGAUGAAAGCUGGGGGAGCAAACCGG